UUAGCUGAUUGUAACAUUUACUUAAGUAUAACAUGCAUUUCCUACUAAAUAAUUUUGUGUUACAACAUUUACUUAAAUAAAUCAUGUUACAUUUGCCUUUAGUUCAACUGUAUAGAUUUUAAUCGAUUCAAUUAAGUUAGAAUAACAUGAAACAAUCAAUUUAAAAAAUAAGAAUGUAGUUUAGCCUGCUCCUGACCAUUAGAUGGCGUGAGUGUGCGAUCGGGCUGGAUGCCAACACCUGAAAUACACGAAGAAAUGCCGAUGCAUCUUUUGAAUGUCCUGGCUGUGCUGUGCUGGUGAAGAGUCUGCUUUUUAAGCUCUAAAAGGUCACUGCCAAGGUAUGCUGAUCUGCUGUCCGACUGCAAGUGUUCCUCCAACUGCACCUAUCUGAAGUAGAGCUGUACCAGUGACCUAGCCUGAUUGCCAUCGACUUGAAAGGCUCUGCGAGACUUCAGUCUGACCAAGAGCCUGUGCUAACACGGUUUCUCCCAGCGCUGGUUGACCCGCCUCAUUUAAGUGCCUCGAUUUGCUACUGGUCGAUGUCAGAAAGCGGUUUGCCGAGUUUAAACCAAUAACAACACUCUUUCCUCUGCCUUGAACAUGCCUCUACCCAGAGCCGUUGGAGCUGCUCAAAGUUGAUUGGUUCUCGACCAAAGGGGGCAGUUCCGCAGAUUUCGGGAAUUCAGAAAUCCUUCCCGAUUAGCAGUUGACCAGACCAGCGACAGCAACGCCGAAGGUGUUACGUCACUGGGAGGGCGUGCCAGGCUACCAGUGACCACAAGUUAAAGAUUUUUGCCCACCGACAUCAAGAAGUAGUCUGAGAUGCACCCAUGAUGGCUGAAUUAAGACGAGGUGGCCAGCAUUUUCAAUGUGCGUGAGCUGUGUGCGGAAUUCAAGGGAUCACUGGAUGGAUGCUCCAUCUGCAAACCUGAUGAAGGCAUUUAGUAUCUAUGACUGAGGAUUCUGGCAUUGAUGUCUGCCACGAAUGUGCUCUCCUCUCAAGGGACUGUGCCUAUAUGAAUGAAGACCCUUAGAGCGUCGUGAAGGAAUACAUGCCAGGGGUUCGUAGUCACACGGUAGAGACCAUAUAUGGCAUCAGAUGGCAUAUUCCCCCCCCCCCCCCCGAGGACGUUUGGAUCAUAGGAGCUACGUAACGUACCAUUUGCUUUUGGACUGUGUUUACUUAUAUGAGCAGCUACAGUUUCUACUUUCUAAACAAUGUUUAAUUGUAUCUGUUAUGUGAAAACACACGAUAUGCACUUCAGUGAGCAUUUAAAUGUGCACUUGAACCCUUAACAUGCAAUAUAGCUUUACAAUAUUGUGAUGGGUUUUUUGUAUGUUAGGCUCUUUCAAUAUAAAAGUUGAAUGUUGUGCACUUAAACCUUAAUGUGAAUAUAAGGCUUGAAAUACAGUUUGUAUAUCAAAAAACAUCUUUGUCUGUUAUUUGUUUUAUCUUUUAGGCCUGUCAUUGCAUAAUGUUUACCCCUUUUGGUGUUAACUUAAAUGUAAUACUUUGAACAGAGUUAAUUAAAUCAUGGAAAGUAUUUCCAUGUGAUUCAAUUGCUCUCUUUCAGCAUGAAGUAAUUCAUUUGAACCAACUUGAUUUACUUGGGUUUGUGCAACUUAAUUUGAAGUAGUUUUCAAUAAGUUAAAUCAACUUAAAUAGAUUGUGUUAACCCAACCUAAGUAAAUUAUGUGGGCUCCAAACCUUGCAAACAAGUUUAAUGGACCCUAACAAAUAAAGUUGAACUAACCAAAGUACCUUAAGUUGGACCAAAGAUAUUGCUUAAUGUUGAAAGUAAGUUAUUUA